rnacentral:rRNA from 1 species
AGCGAACGCUGGCGGCAGGCUUAACACAUGCAAGUCGAGCGGGCCUUUCGGGGUCAGCGGCGGACGGGUGAGUAACGCGUGGGAACGUGCCCUCUGGUUCGGAAUAACUCGGGGAAACUUGAGCUAAUACCGGAUACGCCCUUUUGGGGAAAGGCUUGCUGCCGGAGGAUCGGCCCGCGUCUGAUUAGCUAGUUGGUGAGGUAACGGCUCACCAAGGCGACGAUCAGUAGCUGGUCUGAGAGGAUGAUCAGCCACACUGGGACUGAGACACGGCCCAGACUCCUACGGGAGGCAGCAGUGGGGAAUAUUGGACAAGGGGCGCAAGCCUGAUCCAGCCAUGCCGCGUGAGUGAUGAAGGCCUUAGGGUUGUAAAGCUCUUUUAUCCGGGACGAUAAUGACGGUACCGGAGGAAUAAGCCCCGGCUAACUUCGUG